rnacentral:rRNA from 1 species
CGCAUGCAGGUAAACGGGUGGCGUCAAGCUGCAAGCCCGGAGGAUUCAGCUGGCUAGGAUGUUGUGUAUGCGCCUGGCGCAUCUAUCAGCCGGAGUAAGAUGUGAUAGUCCACUGGUAAACGGUGGGCCCGGCCGCAAGGUUGGGAUAUGUGUACCGGGCGGAAGCCGGAGCAUGCUAUUCGUCUGUUGGGCUGUCUAGUCAGUGCACUUUCUCUGUGGUGAACACCACGACCGGUGGAAUUGCCAGUCUGCUGUAGUCAAGUCGUAUUCAGUCGGUUCUUGUAGCCAACUGGGUGCGAUCACAGGCAAACUCAGUAAACGGCGUAGGGGUGUCUCGGCAUCCUUGCGUGUUAUCGGCUGCUGGUUGUCAACGGGCCUGCCUGAUGAUUGUUGUAACCGUCAUUGGGUGGUCUGGUGGGCUAUGGUGGUAAGAAUAACUGUGCAAGGCAUCGGAGUUCUCGGCCUCAAAUGCAUCCUGCAUACACGUUACAAGUGGAGUGGGGUGCCAUUGCAGCCUGCCUGUUGUUGGGUCUGAUUGUCGUGUCGCCUGCGCAAAGUGGGCCCGGCAGUGGCCUGAUGCGGGAUGGGUUGUGGAUGGUGCUUCCUGUGUAGGGUGCGGUGGGUCAAAUA